UAGCUAGUUGGUAAGGUAACGGCUUACCAAGGCAAUGAUGCAUAGCCGAGUUGAGAGACUGAUCGGCCACAUUGGGACUGAGACACGGCCCAAACUCCUACGGGAGGCAGCAGUAGGGAAUCUUCCACAAUGGACGAAAGUCUGAUGGAGCAACGCCGCGUGAGUGAAGAAGGGUUUCGGCUCGUAAAGCUCUGUUGGUAGUGAAGAAAGAUAGAGGUAGUAACUGGCCUUUAUUUGACGGUAAUUACUUAGAAGGUCACGGCUAACUACGUGCCAGCAGCCGCGGUAAUACGUAGGUGGCAAGCGUUGUCCGGAUUUAUUGGGCGUAAAGCGAGUGCAGGCGGUUCAAUAAGUCUGAUGUGAAAGCCUUCGGCUCAACCGGAGAAUUGCAUCAGAAACUGUUGAACUUGAGUGCAGAAGAGGAGAGUGGAACUCCAUGUGUAGCGGUGGAAUGCGUAGAUAUAUGGAAGAACACCAGUGGCGAAGGCGGCUCUCUGGUCUGCAACUGACGCUGAGGCUCGAAAGCAUGGGUAGCGAACAGGAUUAGAUACCCUGGUAGUCCAUGCCGUAAACGAUGAGUGCUAAGUGUUGGGAGGUUUCCGCCUCUCAGUGCUGCAGCUAACGCA
rnacentral:rRNA from 1 species